GCAACAGCUACGACAACAGUAAGCAUGCACAUUAAUCACCAAAACAGCGACACCACCAAAGAAGAAGAGAAAGAAGAACAAAAUCAAAAUCAGAAUCAGAAUCAGAAUCAAAAUCAUCCCGAAAGAGACACCAUUUCUGCCUCAACCCUGGAUUCCAGAUUCAACCAAACCCUCAAGAAUGUUCAGGGGUUGCUUAAAGGUCGCAGUAUUCCUGGUAAAAUAUUGCUGACCAGAAAGGCAGAGCCUAUAGAGGACCCAAGCUUACAUUCCCCAAGUUUUGGUCAGAGCCUCUCUCAGAAUGACGCUGGGACAAGCGAUCACAUGCAUGAUUCCAUAGAGGUAGAAGACCAUGAUACAACCAAGCCAAAUAAUGGAAGUUCUUAUAUGUUAAAGUCAACAAAUUCAAAUAUUGAAACUAUGUUCAACGAAUCUUAGAAGUCCAGCAUGGGUGCUAGAGCUACAGAUUCUUCAAGGGUUAUGAAAUUUACAAAGGAGCUAUCUGGUUCAAUGGUCAUAUUAGAAAGAUUACGAGAGUUAGCUUGGAGUGGUGUACCACCAUACAUGCACCCUACUGUAUGGAGGCUUCUCUUGCAUGGGCAACAAUGGUUCCAAAAGCUGCUUCAACAUGGGCAACCGAGAUUCCAAAGGCUUAAUAGGAAGGCAUGCUUCACCAAGUCACUACUUAUUCAAAAUGGAUUCCUUCUCUUUCCUAUCUAAAGCUUUAGCAGAUGACUUUAUCUCGGACACUUUUGUUGCAGGGGGCUACAGAUGGUUUUUAGGCUGAAAAAGUGAUGAAUUUAUGUCAUACGGUGGUUGGAGGCAUUGUACGUGCUAAAGAGAGAAGUCGGAUCAUCAAUCAAAAAAAAGAAUGUGAAAUUGCUGGAUGGCGUCAUGGCAUGGUUUUUUUGCGCCGAGCAUAAGUUUUCUAUGCCGCGGCGGGAGAAGCUGAAUUUGGACAUAUAGUUCAUGUCGUGGUGUGAAGAAGUUUGUGCCGUGGCAUGACAAAGUUUUAUGUUUGCGGAAGAAUUUGGCGCCGCGGCGCCAGAAAAUCAUGUCGCGGCAUGGAUCGCGAGAAAAAUAAAAACCUCAUAUUUUCCAACUCCGACUUAACUUGUAUUUCUGAAAAACACCCCUAGCAAAGGAAAAGCAUAAAUAGGACUUUGUAAUUUAGUUUAGGGAUGCUCUUUGACCUAAAUUGAGAGUUACUUUUUUAUCAAGAAAAAGAAGGAGAUUCUUUCUAAGGUUUGGAUUAUUCAUGCUUUUAGGGGAAUUUCAGGUUUGCUCUCUUUAAUAUCAAUGUGUAACUAAACUCUUAUUUAGGGAUCUAAUGUCGCCUAAUUAGA